UACGUAGGUGGCAAGCGUUGUCCGGAUUUACUGGGCGUAAAGAGCGCGCAGGCGGUCGUUCAAGUCGCGUGUGAAAGCCCCCGGCUCAACUGGGGAGGGUCACGCGAUACUGAUCGACUCGAAGGCAGGAGAGGGAAGUGGGAUUCCCGGUGUAGUGGUGAAAUGCGUAGAUAUCGGGAGGAACACCAGUGGCGAAGGCGACUUCCUGGCCUGUUCUUGACGCUGAGGCGCGAAAGCUAGGGGAGCAAACAGG
rnacentral:rRNA from 1 species